UGUAGUGGAAGAGAAAGAGAUGCUCUAGAGAGGAAGGGGAGCUGUAGUUAGCUGUGCCUGGGAAGGUGUCAGGGGAGAAAGGAUGGACAAGUCAACAGCAAGGACUGCUGGGAGUCAGCGAACACAUUUUCACUUGGAAAUGGGUUUGCUGUUGUGAGGCCCCCAGGCCAUCAUGCUGAAGAAUCUGCAGCCAUGGGGUUCUGCUUUUUUAAUUCAGUUGCAAUUACCGCCAAAUACUUGAGAGACCAACUAAAUAUAAGCAAGAUAUUGAUUGUAG